rnacentral:rRNA from 1 species
GACAGAGGGUGCAAACGUUGCUCGGAAUUACUGGGCGUAAAGUGUGCGCAGGCGGCAGAGCAAGUCGAGUGUGAAAGCCCCGGGCUUAACUUGGGAAUUGCGCUCGAAACUACUUUGCUGGAGUGUGGCAGAGGAAGGUGGAAUUCCACUGUAGCGGUGAAAUGCGUAGAGAUGUGGAGGAACACCAAUGGCGAAGGCAGCCUUCUGGGCCAACACUGACGCUCAUGCACGAAAGCGUGGGAGCAAACAGG